GUGGGGAAUAUUGGACAAUGGGCGAAAGCCUGAUCCAGCCAUGCCGCGUGUGUGAAGAAGGUCUUCGGAUUGUAAAGCACUUUAAGUUGGGAGGAAGGGUAGUAACCUAAUACGUUGCUACUUUGACGUUACCGACAGAAUAAGCACCGGCUAACUUCGUGCCAGCAGCCGAGGUAAUACGAAGGGUGUAAGCGUUAAUCGGAAUUACUGGGCGUAAAGCGCGCGUAGGUGGUUCAGUAAGUUGGAGGUGAAAUCCCCGGGCUCAACCUGGGAACUGCCUCCAAAACUGCAUGACUAGAGUACGGUAGAGGGUAGUGGAAUUUCCUGUGUAGCGGUGAAAUGCGUAGAUAUAGGAAGGAACACCAGUGGCGAAGGCGACUACCUGGACUGAUACUGACACUGAGGUGCGAAAGCGUGGGGAGCAAACAGGAUUAGAAACCCUUGUAGUCC
rnacentral:rRNA from 1 species